AGCAUGAGAGUUGAGAGGGUAAGCUCUCGGCGAAUUGCUCAGUAACACGCGGUAUAACCUGCCCUUGGGUCCGGGAUAACCCCGGGAAACUGGGACUAAUACCGGAUAGAUCAAAGAUACCGGAAUGUUCCUUGGUCCAAAACUCCGGUGCCCAAGGAUGGGUCUGCGGCCUAUCAGGUUGUAGUGGGUGUAACGUACCUACUAGCCUACGACGGGUAAGGGUUGUGAGAGCAAGAGCCCUGAGAUGGAUUCUGAAACAUGAAUCCAGGCCCUACGGGGUGCAGCAGGCGCGAAAACUUUACACUGCUAGAAAUAGCGAUAAGGGGACCCCGAGUGCCAGUACCUAGUACUGGCUGUCCCGCUGUCUAAACAACAGUGGUUAGC
rnacentral:rRNA from 1 species